rnacentral:rRNA from 1 species
UGGGGAUGACGUCAAGUCCUCAUGGCCCUUAUGUCCAGGGCUACACACGUGCUACAAUGGCCGGUACAGAGUGACGCGAAGCCGCGAGGUGGAGCAAAUCGCAGAAAGCCGGCCUUAGUUCGGAUUGGAGUCUGAAACUCGACUCCAUGAAGGUGGAAUCGCUAGUAAUCGCGCAUCAGCAUGGCGCGGUGAAUACGUUCCCGGGCCUC